AAAAAAAAGCCAUUAUCAUUUUUUUUCCCUUCAUCUUCAUCACGAAACAAAACAAAAGAAAACAAAGAAACAAAGCUAGGGUAUUCAGCCAUUGUUGAGCUUGAUUCAAGAUCAAGAACCAAAGAAAUCGGAGUUAGAUCGGGGGAAAGCUAAAAUCGUCGAAUAAUUGUCCGGUUUCGAUUUUUCACCGUCCGAGGCUCGGUGCCUAGCAAGCUUGAUGCCAGUGAUAUGUUUCAGACUUUAAGUCUAGCAGGCUUGUCACCGGUGAAACAUUUCAGACUUUAAGUCUAGCAGGCUUGACGCCGGUGAAACAUUUCAGACUUUAAGUCUAGCAGGCUUGACGCCGGUGAAACAUUUCAGACUUUAUGUCUAGCAGGCUAAGUGCCAGUGUAUUGAAUCAGGCCUUAAGCCUAGCAGGUUUUGUGCCGGUGAAUCUAUUCAUAUCAUGUGUUUACAUGUAUCGAAUAUGUGUAUGAUUUAGUCAUAUGGAUUUAUAGAAUAUGUAUAUACAUUUAGUCAUUGUG